AAGAAAAUCAAACGGCAGCAGGGAGGCUCGCUGCAAGGCUCCAGCGCGUAAUUUGAAACGAAAAGGAGGAGCUGGUACAUCGAAUGUGGCCGCGUUCUGUCACUCGAUCGAAGUGAAAAUCUAUUUCCCAAAUUGCCCUCAUGAUUGAUGCACCCGGUCAACACUAAAUUAGGCGCCGUUAGUUUCACCUUUGCAAAUUGGCGACCGUCGAUUAUUUCGAGUCUUCCGUCAUGGCAUACGCUAUGGCACAGCGGCAAAAGCAAAACCAGGGAACCCAACUCAUCGUAUUUUCGCAAUCACAUACCC
rnacentral:lncRNA from 1 species